GAUCGAAUGUCACAUCUUUACUAUAUAAUAGGAGUUCUAUAAAAAAAAUAAUUACAUCAAAAGGAGACAACAGUCCAGCAACCCAAAGUUGACUGGGAGACGACGGCCUAGACCUCUCAUGAACUCGUCACAACAUCCUUCAUGCGCCUUAUCCUGUGGUACCUGUUCUUGACCUGUGGGGGUGUGAGACAGCAAGAGUGAGCUCACAUACGUUCAUCACUCAACAAGUUGUGGGGAAUAAUGUGCAUGAACUCGCCAAAGGUGGGAGCUCACGUGAAGUGUAAGGCUUACCAAAGAGGAUGGUUAGAGCUGAGCAUUGCUUUUAAAGUUGGUCAAAAUUUUAUUAGCAAUUACUAAGUAUAAUUAAAUACCAACCCAAUUAAGUAGUAGAACAAAAGUAACAACCUCACCUGCGAUGCAAUGUAUAUGACAAAUUGAGUUUAAGUUCCAUAAUUUAAUCAUGUGAGUGUCCGAGCUGCUCAUGACCGUGAGCACGGCUAGUAUACCAGUUUUGCACUCUGCAGAGGUUGCGCAUCUUUACCCACAAGUCAUGUUACCCAUAUGCCAAGAGACGGCCAAUCCCAUACACCUCUACCGAGGUGGCGAGGCAGGGUAACACUACGAGGCCUUUACAAAGUUCCACUAGCUUCAGAAAACCCGCUAUAGUUUAUAGGAAGCUCCAGUGCAGGAAUCCCUCGCCUGACCGCCAUCGUAGCAAAAUCAACCAAGGGCCUCCCUACACUGACCACUCCCCUACUGCCCUUGCCCCUUUCGGGUAAGGUAGUCUUCCACUAGCUUUCCUAGUUAGUUAGCCAAGGGCGUCCAUAAACCCUUGUGGUAGCACUGUUUUUCCGGGUGGUUCUCCAUGUUCCAAUUAACAUAAUGAUCUUAUCAUGAACAGUAAUUAACAAACUGAUAACAGAGUAUAAUCAUGAAUAAAGUAUCUCCAUACCCAAAACCACAUAAAGCAAUAGCAAGUACUACCCAAAAAUUCAGUGGUGAACAAGGUAUAAAGAUAGUCAAACUGGGGUAACCUAUUGGGUCCCAUCAAAAUUAACCUAUGCAGAUCAUUAUGAUUAAUCAGAACAUGACUGGGUAAAAAGAAGUGAUCAAGGGCACAACUUGCCUGGGACUUGAGAUUCCAGGUACCAACUUGCUCUUCAGAUGACUCGUAACCUCACUGCUAGUCGUAGCAAUACAAACAAACAUGGUAUAGAUAAAAUUAACAUCACAUCAAACAUAAGAACAAACUGUAUAAUAAUAAUCUACGCGUUGCUACGAGAUCGUAGGAACAAGAAUUACUAAAUUUGGAGUAACGGUUACGAAGUUAUGGUUUUCCGAAGAUCCACGUGGUUGAGUAUAUAAUAGACUAAGUGCAACAUUUUAACCUAUAUUUCAUGACCAAACAAAAUUACUAGAUGAUAAUAAAUAUUAUUGUGAGACUAAUGCAACUAGAAUGGAUCAAAACGUAGUUACGGUUAUUGAGCUAUGAAUUUCUGGAGUUUAUUUAAUGCUUGGUAUAGACUAAUUCAAGUGAACAAUUUUAAUCUAAGUUUCAUAGCUAGACAAAGAUACUAGAUGAUAGAUAAUAUUAAAACAAAACUAUUGCAACCGGAAUGAAUCAAUUUGGAGCUAAAAUGAAUUAAAUAUGAAUUCUACAAGUUUCUAAAUUUAUUUUUAUAUUAAAAAUCCAUUUCUAAUAUUAAUUUCUGAAUAUCCUAAGUGUUCUGGACUGGGCACAAUAUUUCUUAAAAUAUCAGGGGCCUAAAUCACAAUUUUCCCAGGACUCAGUAUUCCCACAGUGUGGACUGCGGGUUUAUUUAAAACAAGUGCGGGGGUUCUUUAUGAAUUAUGCCAUGGCCGAAGGGGUAUGGGGAAAUUAGAGUUGUCCGAUUAGAAACGGGCCGACCAGAUCGUGCCUAGGCAUUAAUGAAGUGGUACGUGCCUACCUACCUUUGGAUCUUGGAUCAGCGAUGCAGAUUUAAGGCGCGAAGGGAUACGUAUCAUCAAAUCUCGACUGUAAUCGAGAGAUCCGACGGCCCAGAUCAAACUGCCACACGCAUUGAUCUCCACCGUUCAUCAGAAAUUGACGAUCACUGGGUCAUCUCCCACCUUCUAUCCAAGCACGACGGC
rnacentral:lncRNA from 1 species